AACAACUCCAAAGUGGAAAGCCUGAAGUAACUGUGAAAUCUAUUUCUGGAGAAUUUCUGAAAAUAAGAUGCUUGCAUAGAAUUUCUAAAUACUGCUAAUGAAGCAGGCCUGUAGUUCACCGUGUUCCUCUUUUAUCGGCCAGUAUUACCAGAAAGCUCCAAGGAGAGAUGCAACACUUAAUGGGAAAGAUUAAGCUAAAAGAUAUAGUCACACUGCAACAAAAAAAAAAAAAAAAAAAAAAGAGAAAAUGAGCAAGCUCUACAAAGGGAAGUUCAGUAAUGUGAAACAGGCUGCUCAACAAAAAGAGGAAAAGGCAGAGAUCCAGCAGUGUCAAUGUAUGUACCUACAGUGAACUGAACUCUGAGUUGUAGCAGAAAGUGGUCUAAACAAAAAAGGAAACAAACAAAAAAGGACCUUGUUUAAAAAGUAGCUGCAUGGGCCAAAAAGAGAAGCAAACAACCAAGCAGUGUCAGAAGUUCCAAAUCCCCUGCCACGUUUUGCUGCUGCUUGCGCAGUUGAAGAGAAGGAAAAGCAAGGUAAGCUGUUGUCCCUUCAGGGUGGCAAAGCUUCGGUGCUGACUCUCGGUGGUCCAGGUGACAGUACUGAAACUGAACCCUACAAUUUGAAGAACUGGAUAAAGGUAAGAUGAUUUCCCCCCGSCCCUGCCUGCCCCGCAAAGGAGUCAGACUUUUCUGUGCAUUGCACUAGAUGGACCUUUCUGAUGAU
rnacentral:lncRNA from 1 species